UUUCCCCUUUUCCCUAGUUCUCAUUCUCAUUUUCCUUGAAUUACUCUUGAGCAUGCAGCUAAGUUGUUUGCUGUUUCUGUUUGCAUAUGGCCUUUGCAAAAUUUCUUUUUUUUUUCAAACUUCAAUCCUUUUCAUUUGACUAUUUGAUUUAUGUAUGCAGAUAUGGCAAAAAAAAGCGAUUCAGGAAUCCACUUAAAUUAAUUAGUGGGAGCUCCUCACAUGCUCCCAAACCUUGUGUACCCGAACCUUCAGUACCGGAACCUUCAGAACCUAUUAUACCAGAUCCAUCAGUACCAGAACCUACAAAAGUAGAGACUCAACCUUCUGAAGUUGAUGAAGAUUCCCCCCACUUUUGGUCUGUAAGGCUAUUGGCACCAUAUGGAGGUAGUGGGGCACCAAAUGAAAGCAACAUAAAUUCAGAAGAUGCUUAGACCAAGCAUAGUUUAUUAUAGUUUUAUUAUUGUAAUUAACAGAGCUAGACUAAACCACAAAUGCUCCUUGUUAUUUAGAGUUCCAUUAGUCUUUUAUGAUGAAUUUAAGUUCCAUUAGAAAUUUGUGAGUUUUAUUAAUUGUCAUAGCUUCUAGUUAUUAUUGUGAUGAACAUAGAGCUAGACUAGACCACAAAUGCUCCUUGUUGAGAUUUAUAAUGUGUUUAAAUUUUAUUAGAA